rnacentral:lncRNA from 1 species
UGAUAUGGUCAUCCACAUUAUAUUUUAAUUUUCAAAAUUCAUCACAUAGAUUAUCCUGGUCAAGAUUUUACUAAAUUAAAACACACCGAUAUAUUAACUCCUACUUAUUCGGAGGGGUCAAUUCCAUCUUGACUUACACACUGACUUCGCAAGUACUUGACUAUGUCUAGAAAUCUUUUAUCAUUGAAUAAAAAAUUCAAGUAGUCCAGCACCAAAGCAUAGUGAGUUGCUUGCAAGUCACCGUGGU